UACGUAGGGUGCGAGCGUUGUCCGGAUUUAUUGGGCGUAAAGAGCUCGUAGGCGGUUUGUCGCGUCGGCCGUGAAAUCUCCACGCUUAACGUGGAGCGUGCGGUCGAUACGGGCAGACUUGAGUUCGGUAGGGGAGACUGGAAUUCCUGGUGUAGCGGUGAAAUGCGUAGAUAUCUGGAGGAACACCGGUGGCGAAGGCGGCAUCCUGGACCAACACUGACGCUGAGGAGCGAAAGCCAGGGGAGCAAACGGG
rnacentral:rRNA from 1 species